rnacentral:lncRNA from 10 species
GUUGGCAACAUCUAAACUUGUCUUGUUUAAUCUAAUAUCACUCAAUUCAUUUAGAGGCUUAGUCCUAGACUUUCCUCUCUUUGGUUUGUUUUUAUUGUAUUUCUGGAGAAAUGCAGCUCAAAGUGCUCUUGUGAAACUCGGUAAAAUUUUGCUUAGUUUUAAACCUACACCCCAGAUACAGGAUGUACUAGAGAUGGUUCUGGCUCUAACAAGAACACUGUGCCUACCACAAAGAUUUGAUUCCUACCUACAUAGUGCCUUGUGAUGAUUCCUGUAUUUUUGCCUUAAAUGGAAUUUAUGGAGAAGACAUUUUUGAGAUGCAGUCUUAGAGAUUAGUGAAGAUUUAACUAAAACAUUGAUACUACAUGGUCUAAAUGAGGCAGAGAGAGCAUUUUAGAUGUGAUUCCGAGACAAGUCUCACUCCAUCGUCACCCAGGCUGGAGUGUAAUGGCGCGAUCUCGGCUCACUGCAACCUCCGCCUCCUGGGUUCAAGCAAUUCUCCUACCUCAGCCUCCUGAGUAUCUGGGAUUACAGGCAUGCACCACCACGCCAGGCUAAUUUUUGUAUUUUUAGUAGAGAGGGGGGUUUCACCAUGUUGGUCAGGCUGGUCUUGAACUCCUGACUUUGUGAUCUGCCCACCUCGGCUUCCCAAAAUGCUGGGAUUACAGGCAUGAGCCACUGCACCCAGCCAGUUUUUCCUCUUUCUGUCUACAGCACUGAACACUGAGCCCUGCAAUCAGAAAUACCUAUAUGUCAUUAUCAUUGAUGGUGACAAUAACAACAGAGGUUGCAUAAUAAAUAAGAGAACUAUGUAAUGUUACAACUCAUCAGGUGAAAACAGAAGAUGUGGAGUGUGUUAGUUAGAAUCUCACCAGGAAAAGAUAGCCACUUCAAGUAUUGAAAACAGAAGUAGCAUUGGUUUAAUGGACCAAAGAGCUGAGACUCCAAACAAGAAAGUGUAUCACACUGAUAUUAGAAAUAGAAGCCACUUGGUGUGGCAAUUUGUCAAGGAUCUAGAACUAGAAAUACCAUUUGACCCAGCCAUCCCAUUACUGGGGGUAGACCCAAAGG